GCAGUGGUGGCUGGGGUAGAAUUCUCGCCUUCCGUGCUGGAGGCCUGGGUUCGAUUCCCGGCCAUUGCA
rnacentral:tRNA from 1 species